ensembl:lncRNA
CUGCUUUGUUGUUUGGGAUACGGAUGUUACAGAGCUGCAUUUUGUAACACAGAGGUACCUGAAUCUCACCCGGUGCUGCAGGAGGAGGCCUGGCCUCGCCAUGUUGGCACAGCAUCGCUCCGCGGUCACUGUGCUCUCCCAUCACACCCCCGACGGGCAGAAAUCCCUUUUUAUUUUCCCAUAUGCAAACCCCUCCUACUGUUCUCGUGGAGCUCGCAAGUGCUAAAGGUUACAAAAUCCAUCUUUUCUCUAAGAAAGCAACUUAAUUAAUGUGAAAGUUUCUCCCAGGAAGGGAACCCUCAGCAGAUAUGCGGUGCGUAUCACAGCUCCCCUCUUCCCUCCCAGCACCCCUCCCCAAACCACUUUAAUUUCUCUGCCAAUAUUGGACAAAUGUAACAGGCUGACUUUUUAAUUUUCUACUCCCAGGUCUCCCUUGUCCCCUCAUGCAUUUUUCAUCACAGCUCGUGGCUCCCUCCCUGCCUGCCCUAUGAACAAUAUUGAUCGACUGAUUAAGCCAUCAAGCCGUGGCAAACAACUUUAAUUUUCAAACCAAAGCCUUUUAGUUCUCUUCCCUCUCUUGUAUAUUUGUUACCUCCUUAUGAAGUUUGUAAUGUCUCCUUAGAAACAAGCACGUUGGUUGUUUCUUUUUAAAUUAGUGCCCAGGUUAAUUGGGAGCUGCACACCACCGAUAGCCAUCCAUGUGAAGGUGUAAGAAGGGAAAACAGGGAGUGCCGAGCACAGGUUUAGGAGAAAAGAAGGCAGAUGUGGCUCUGAGGGCUGUGUCAGUGGGCACGGUGGGGUGGGCUGGGGUUGGAUUUGGGGGUCUGAGAGGGCUUUUCCAUCCUUCAUGAUUCUGUGAUUCCCCAUAAUUCAGAGCCUGAUCCAAACUCUCCGGGAAAGACUUGCUUGCGGUGCUUUGCCUGUUCUCUUUGGUGUCUCCACCUUCCUCGAACCUGUCUUAAGCUCUGGUGAUGAUGAAGGGAGAGGAGAUUGAUGUGCCCCGAGUCCCAGGGUGAGAGCGUGGCACCGCAGCCUCUCUGCACGCGGCUCCGUGAGGCUUGUCAGUGCUGCUCUGCGGGCUUGCAAAUUGCUUUUCAAGGCGCUGGGCUUUCAGGCAGCACAGAGUUUUGAGAGCACCGGUGGGGAAUCGAUGGAAACGGCGUUUGUGGAGGACCUUCAUCUUGAAGCUGCCAGUUCUGCUGCGUCUGGAUUUGUGAGCUGCAAAGAUGAGCAAAAAAAAGCCCCAUGGAGCUGCGCUGCCUGCUGAGGCCUCACCCUGCAGUGCCAGGACCCCACAUUCUGCCCCUGGGGCUCUGCAGGGAACCCAUCUCUCCUUGCCCCAAGCUAUGAGGUGGCCCCCACGUGCUCUCACUGGGACAGGAGCUGUGAGGUUCUGUAGCUGCUGAGCAUGAACUUUACACGUUCCCAUUGCCCUCUGCCUGUGUGGCCUUAUUACAGAGGCGUGCUGUAGAUUUACUUCAAAUACAUGCAACAGGGUGACAGAUCAGCCUCGAGCUGCCUUCAGUGCAGGUUUUAGCAGUGGGUUUAGCACCUUAAUCCUUUUCCUGGGCUUCCCCCCCCCCCUUCCCCAAGCUUAGUACAGGACCUGCUUCCUUGCUUGGGGUCGAGCCGAUCAGACAGCACAGGAGCCUCAAAUUCCCCCGGUUUAUCACUAAUGCCCUACAGCAAGGGAGAGCUUCAGCUCUUCACUCUCACCUGGUGUCCUUCAGAGGAGAUUUUCUGCACAGAAAUGGGAGAGCAGCUGUUCUGCUGGGUUCCCUGUGCCUGGCUGUGGUACAGGGUCAGAAGCAGCCUUGUAUGGAUGGGGUCAGCAGCAACCCCAAAACACGGCUGCCUUCGAGCAGUUGGAGUUGCUUUCCAUCUUGCUUUGAGGAGCUCAGAGUCUGGCUUUAAGAUCAGCUAAUAAGUUCCUAUCAGGAUGUGCACGUGUUGUGAGCUUGUUGGAGUUCUUGAGGUCAUCUUUUUUCUUCCCUUUUAAAAUCAAAUGAUCGGAACAAACGACGGCGCUGCUUUCCUUGUUAAUGGGGGGAGGCUCUGCAGGGAGGUCAGGGGGGAUUCCUUUGCAGCACACGGGGUCUUUUGUUGCACGGUUUGACUUUUCUGUGUGUCUGUAAAGCUCAUCACAGAUUAUUGGUUUUAUCUGAUGAAAGAAGAGGAAAAAGCUGCAGUGUGGCACAGGAGUGCAGGUGAUCGGGGUUAGCGCAUUGAUCAGGGUUAGCGCAUUGAUCAGUUAGCACACCUCUGAGAAUCACUGAGCUGUUAAGGUUGGGAAGGAGUGCUCAGAUCCCCAACCCACCACCUGUGGACACAUCCCUCAGAGCCACAUCAGCGCCACGGAGGUGCUCUUCCCACCAAGCAGACCCUUUGGAGCCAACAGCCAUGGCAAAUGGCAACACAAUCAGAUCCUCGCAUUUAAAAUUGUUCUCCUGCAGAUAAACAUAAGGAAAGCAAACCUUGAGUGUUUAAUGGGACGUGCCUAAGAGGAGAGCUGUGAAGCUCUGCAGAUCCCCUUUGUUUGCGUUGUUUGGUUCCUGUCAUUACAGACACGUGUGAGAUGAGAAGCGCAAACUCCGGAGGUAGAGCAGUGCAGAAGCUGUGUUGGAAACCUCAGUGAGAAGAUGAGCAUUUCUUUUUAAUCUGGAGUGUUUAUUAAAGGUUUUCCUUAGGAUGAGGGGAGGGAAGGUGGUUCGGCACUGUACUAAGAACACAAUGAGUGCCUUUUCAUAGUGAGAUCCAAAUGAGAAGGAUGGGACCAGGAGGGUUCGCAGAGCCACGGCUGUGCCCGGUGUGUCCCAUAACCACACACAGUGCUGGGAUUUAUGGGGCGUGGAAAAUUGGAUUUCUUUAAAAUGUAAAUUUUGAGAAGGGUUGUAUUUUAUCAUUCAUCCCCGAGGUAGUGCGGGCUUUAUAAAACCCUUUCUAAUCUUGGAUUGAUGGAUGUCGAUGGGAGUUUUCCAUUCGGUGGAUGUUGGACCGGCCCCAGGGCGCAGCGCAGCAGCUGUCCCUGCAGGGAAUGCAGUCACACCCCGUGAGGUGAUGCUCUUGGACAAGAGGAGCUGUGUUUUUGGGCUGAGUAAAACAGAGGUAGGCAGCUGUGAGCCCCCAACGCAGCGAGAGGUCGGAGAAGGCUCCGGGCAAAGAGCCGCUGUCCCACUGCUGGAUGGAGGGCACCUCCAAGGACAUCGCCGGCAUCCUCUGCCCGUGUGCUCUGCUGAGCUGUGUGCUCCUGGGAGAUGGAGAUGUGGGGUAUGGCACAGGGACACGGGAUAUGGCAUGCAGACCUUGGGGUGGGGACACUGGGGACAGCAGUCGGAACACUGGAGAUGAUGUGGGGGCACUGGGGAUGGAGAUGCUGAGGAUGGCACAGUGAUACUACAGCGUGGGGACGUGGUGUAUGGUAUGGGGACCUUGGGGACAGCACAGGGACACUGGGUGUGGCGUGGGGACUGUGGAUGGCACAAAGACACUGAGGGCAGCACAGGGUCCUUGGGGAUGGCGCAGUGACACUGUGUAUGGUAUGGGGACCUAGGCAAUGGGGACAUGGGGUACAGCAUGGGGACCUUGAGGACAACAUGAGGGCCUUGGGGGUGGCACGGGGACACAGAUUACAGCAUGGUGACCUUGGAGAUGGGAACGUGGGGUACAGCACAAGGACCUUGGGGAUGGUAUGCGGAGACUGGAUAUGACAUGGGGACUCAGAGUACAGCACGGGGACAGUGGGGACAGCACAGGGACUUUGGGAUGGCAUGGGGAGGAGGCAUGCUCUGGGGUGUCUGUGGGGGCUGCAUUCGGGGUGCUGCAUUUGGGAAUGCAGGAUGAGGAGGGAUGAGCUCUGUGCUCAUCUCCCAGUGCUGUUGUACAGGGAGAGGGGCUGAAUGCUGGAGCUGCUCAGGGAGAAAAAGAGAGAAGUGGGCUCGGGUCUCAUGGAGAGGCCAUGGGGUGUUUCUCCCACUGGGAUUUAAUGACAUCUGUGCAAACAAAAUGCUGCCGUGCGUGUUGCACGUACUUGUAUAUGCCCAG